GACGAACGCUGGCGGCGUGCCUAAUACAUGCAAGUCGAGCGAGUGAAACUAACUGAUCCCUCAGGGGUGACGUUAGUGGAUCUAGCGGCGGACGGGUGAGUAACACGUGGGCAACCUGCCUGCAAGACUGGGAUAACUCGCGGAAACGCGAGCUAAUACCGGAUGAUACUUUGAACUGCAUGGUUCGAAGUUGAAACGCGGCGCCAGCUGUCACUUACAGAUGGGCCCGCGGCGCAUUAGCUAGUUGGUGGGGUAACGGCUCACCAAGGCGACGAUGCGUAGCCGGCCUGAGAGGGUGAUCGGCCACACUGGGACUGAGACACGGCCCAGACUCCUACGGGAGGCAGCAGUGGGGAAUCUUGCGCAAUGGACGAAAGUCUGACGGAGCAACGCCGCGUGAGUGAUGAAGGUUUUCGGAUCGUAAAACUCUGUUGUUAGGGAAGAACAAGUGCAAGAGUAACUGCUUGUACAUUGACGGUACCUAAACAGAAAGCCCCGGCUAACUACGUG
rnacentral:rRNA from 1 species